AGAGUUUGAUCAUGGCUCAGGAUGAACGCUAGCGACAGGCUUAACACAUGCAAGUCGAGGGGCAGCAUGAUUUGUAGCAAUACAGAUUGAUGGCGACCGGCGCACGGGUGAGUAACGCGUAUGCAACUUACCUAUCAGAGGGGGAUAGCCCGGCGAAAGUCGGAUUAAUACCCCAUAAAACAGGGGUCCCGCAUGGGAAUAUUUGUUAAAGAUUCAUCGCUGAUAGAUAGGCAUGCGUUCCAUUAGGCAGUUGGCGGGGUAACGGCCCACCAAACCGACGAUGGAUAGGGGUUCUGAGAGGAAGGUCCCCCACAUUGGUACUGAGACACGGACCAAACUCCUACGGGAGGCAGCAGUGAGGAAUAUUGGUCAAUGGCCGAGAGGCUGAACCAGCCAAGUCGCGUGAAGGAAGAAGGAUCUAUGGUUUGUAAACUUCUUUUAUAGGGGAAUAAAGUGGAGGACGUGUCCUUUUUUGUAUGUACCCUAUGAAUAAGCAUCGGCUAACUCCGUGCCAGCAGCCGCGGUAAUACGGAGGAUGCGAGCGUUAUCCGGAUUUAUUGGGUUUAAAGGGUGCGUAGGUGGUGAUUUAAGUCAGCGGUGAAAGUUUGUGGCUCAACCAUAAAAUUGCCGUUGAAACUGGGUUACUUGAGUGUGUUUGAGGUAGGCGGAAUGCGUGGUGUAGCGGUGAA
rnacentral:rRNA from 1 species